UCAAUAGACCGUGAAACCGUUGGGAGGGAAGCUCAGGGUGUCGAGGUUGUCGUGCUCCGCUGAUGUUCAGCCGGCGGCGGUCGGGGUUACCUGCCGCUGUCGGUGCAUUCUUCACGGAGUUGGACCGUCAGUUGGGAAGAGGUCGGGUCCUGUUCUGUCGGCAGUCGGGAGGUAAGCCUUGCGGUUCCUCCGUGUUCCCAGGGUGACGUAUAGCCGUUCUGCCGUGGUCCCGGCCGUCUUUCAGGUGCGUCGGACGUCCGUUCGUCCGGAAUGGGAAGGUGCAGUCUCCCCUCGGUUGGGAGUUCGGGCUGGUGGUGGAGUUGCUUCGCUGUGACGAGUCGUGCUCCGUGCCUUCUCCGUUCCGCUUCGGCGUGCGGGGAGGAGUACGGCACGGCCGCCACGUGUCGUUGCCUCUCGCUGUCAUGUUCCAAGUGCUGUGCCAAGGUGACUGGCGAAGAGUCGUUACCCUGUGC
rnacentral:sRNA from 1 species